rfam:Ipomoea nil DNA, scaffold: scaffold0862, cultivar: Tokyo-kokei standard.
GACUGUAUAGCGCAGUGGAUUAGCGCGUCUGACUUCGGAUCAGAAGGUCGUGGGUUUGAAUCCCAUUGUGGUCG